rnacentral:rRNA from 1 species
CUACGGGUUGCACCAGUGAGGAAUCUUCCGCAAUGGGCGAAAGCCUGACGGAGCGACACCGCGUGGAGGAUGAAGGCCUUUCCGGUCGUAAACUCCUGUUCUGAGGAACGAAAUUUUUGACGGUACCUCAGGAGAAAGCAUCGGCAAACCCUGUGCCAGCAGCCGCGGUAAGACAGGGGAUGCAAGCGUUACUCGGAAUUACUGGGCGUAAAGCGUCUGUAGGCGACCGAAAAAGUCUGCGGUCAAAUGUCGGGGCUUAACCCCGUCAUCGUCGCGGAAACUCUUCGGAUUGAGCCUUGGAGAGGCAUCUGGAAUGCCAUGUGUAGGAGUAAAAUCCGUAGAUACAUGGUAGAACGCCGAAAGCGAAGGCAGGAUGCUAGCCAUGCGCUGACGCUGAGAGACGAAAGCGUGGGGAGCAAAGGGGAUUAGAUACCCGCGUAGUC